rnacentral:rRNA from 1 species
ACAUAAUUCCCGUUGAUCCUGCGGGAGGCUGCUGCUAUUAGAAUUCGAAUAAGCCAUGCAAGUCAGAGAGUAAUCUCGGCGAACUGCUCAGUAACACGUCGAUAAUCUGCCUUUAGGUCAGGGAUAACCUCGGGAAACUGAGGAUAACACCUGAUAGGAAAAAAAUUCUGGAAAGACUUUUUUCUCAAAGGUAUACGCCUAAAGAUGAGUCGGCGGCCGAUUAGGUAGUUGGCGAGGUAAUGGCUCACCAAGCCUAAGAUCGGUAAGGGCCUUGAAAGAGGGAGCCCUGAGAAGGGAACUGAGACACGGUCCCUAGCCCUACGGGGUGCAGCAGGCGCGAAAACUCCACAAUGUACGAAAGUAUGAUGGGGGAAUUCUAAGUGCUUACACAAUGUGUAGGCUUUUUCUAAAAGCAAAAAUUUUAGAGAAUAAGUGGUGGGUAAGACGGGUGCCAGCCGCCGCGGUAACACCUGCGCCACUAGUGGGAGUCGUAAUUAUUGGGCCUAAAGCGUCCGUAGCCGGUCAUGUAAAUCUUUUGUGAAAUCGUUGGGCUUAACUUAACGACGUGCAGAAGACACUGCAAGACUUGGAACUGGGAGGGGUCAGAGGUAUUCCUGGGGGAGCGGUAAAAUGUUAUAAUCCUAGGAGGACCACCUGUGGCGAAGGCGUCUGACCAGAACAGAUUCGACGGUGAGGGACGAAAGCCAGGGGAGCGAUCCGGAUUAGAUAUCGAGCGGUUUCUUAUUUUUGUUCGAUCGCAAAAAUUUACUGAACAAAAAUAAAUCAAAAUGAGACUGAAAAAACUCGACUAAUUACCC